GACGUAGGAUGCGAGCGUUGUCCGGAUUUAUUGGGCGUAAAGAGUUCGUAGGCGGUUCGUUAAGUCUGAUGUUAAAGAUCGGGGCUCAACCUCGGGAGUGCAUUGGAUACUGGCGAACUGGAGUGCGGUAGAGGCGAGUGGAAUUCCCAGUGUAGCGGUGAAAUGCGUAGAUAUUGGGAAGAACACCGGUGGCGUAGGCGACUCGCUGGGCCGUAACUGACGCUGAGGAACGAAAGCCAGGGGAGCAAAUGGG
rnacentral:rRNA from 1 species